GUGCUUGUUUCAGUAGCACAUAUACUAAAACUAGAAUGAUAAAGAGAAGAUUCGCAUGUCCCCUGUGCAAGGAUGAUACACAAAUUCAUGAAGCAUUCCAUAUUUUU